CAAAUACUCCCUCCGUCCGGAAAUACUUGUCAUCAAAAUGGAUAAAAGGAAAUGUAUCUAGACGUAUUUUAGUUUUAGAUCCAUCUCUUUUUAUCCAUUUUGAUGACAAGUAUUUUCGGACGGAGGGAGUAGAAA
rnacentral:pre_miRNA from 1 species